AUUGAACGCUGGCGGCAUGCUUUACACAUGCAAGUCGAACGGCAGCACGGGGGUAGCCCUGGUGGCGAGUGGCGAACGGGUGAGUAAUGCAUCGGAACGUGCCCGGUCGUGGGGGAUAACGUAGCGAAAGUUGCGCUAAUACCGCAUACGAUCUGAGGAUGAAAGCGGGGGACCUACGGGCCUCGCGCUAUCGGAGCGGCCGAUGUCGGAUUAGGUAGUUGGUGGGGUAAAGGCCUACCAAGCCGACGAUCUGUAGCUGGUCUGAGAGGAUGACCAGCCAGACUGGGACUGAGACACGGCCCAGACUCCUACGGGAGGCAGCAGUGGGGAAUUUUGGACAAUGGGGGCAAACCUGAUCCAGCCAUACCGCGUGCAGGACGAAGGCCUUCGGGUUGUAAACUGCUUUUGUACGGAACGAAAAGGCUUUGGCUAAUACCUGGGGCGCAUGACGGUACCGGAAGAAUAAGCACCGGCUAACUACGUG
rnacentral:rRNA from 1 species